AGGUGGUGGACCCUUAAGGUUCUUUUGAAGACCCCGACCUGGAGUUAUACGCUGACUGGAGUUCUUUGCGGGAAUGGGACCCGCUCUCAGGGCUUCACGACUGGCCGUUAUUCGGCAUGCCAAGGACGUGGCCUAAGAGCUAAGCUCACCCUCAGAGGCCCAGGACCUAGUGGCUCUGGAGACGGGCAGAUUGAAGGUCGCAGUCCCAGCAGGAAAUCGGUGCGUCAUGGGACUCAGGAGAUCUCUGGGCACAGAGCUCAGAAAAAGUGACGCAAUGCACUUUUAACAUCGUAAACCAGCGAGUAGUUUGUUAAGUCUCCCCUCUCGCUGUGAAAUGGAGACACCUCUUUCUCCCUUAUUAGGAAGAGCGAGCCUGCGGCAUAUCCAGUACAAGCUAACCACAGUAAAGCAGCAAACCAAACCUCCAAAUGCAUAUAAAAUACUCCACAACAGCACAAUAAAGGAAUCGAUGAUCGACAUCGGGAGACCACACUCCAGUCCUCAUUGAAGGGUCAGUAGUGGAAACAGUGAGCAACUUUGAGUUCUGGAAUGUUAAAGUUUGGAGAAUCUGUCCAGGGCACAAAAUAGAACACAGACAGUACAGGCCCUUCGGCCCACAACGUUGUGACAACCUUUUAACCUACUCAAAGAUCAAUCCAACCCUUCCAUCCAACGUUGCCCUCCAUUUUUCUUGGACCUACCCAGGAGCUUCUUCAAUGUCUCUAAUGUACCUGCCUCCACCACAACCAGUGGCACGGCAUCCUAUGUUUAAACUCCCUGUGUUUAAAAAAACUUCAAGAGGUGGUGCCUCAAAAAAGGCAGCAUCCAUCAUUAAGGAACUUCAGUAUCUAAGAUAUGUCAUGUCCUUAUCAGUACUGUCAGAGAGGAGGCACAGAAGUCUGACUAUGGUUAUGACAUUUCCUUCUGAAGAGAUGAUCAUAUUACAGGAAAUCAAACUCCAUGCUGACCUCACUGUGUAAUGGUGUCUUGUACCUUAGGUUUGGGAAAUGGUCCUUUGCUCUAUCUGUUAUAAAGUUAAAAGGAUCAAUUUGUCACUAAAUAACCUAACUUGUAUAGAUGCUCUGUUGAAAGUAUCCUGACUGGUUGUGUCAUGGUCUGGAAUAACAACUUGAAUGUGCAGGAACUCAGUCCAAUACAUCAGGGCAUCCCUCCCCACCAUCGGUAGUAACAAUAGGAGGUGUUGAUCAUCGAAGAUCUCCAGGCCAUGCUAUCUUUCCACAGGGAUUGCACCCUAUGUGACUCCCUUGUCCACUCAUGGUACCCCACUGUUCUCCAUCCUGGUACUUAUCCUUGCUAGCGGAACAAGUGUUACCCCUGCCUCUACACCUCCUCCCUCACUACCAUUCAGGGCCCCUGAUAGUCCUUCCAGGUGAGGCGACACUUCACCUGCAAAUCUACAGGGGUCAUCUACUGAUCUGGUGCUCCUGCUGUGGCCUCCUCUACAGUGCCUACAAAAAGUAUUCACCACCCCACCCCGCUUGGAAGUUUUCAUGUUUUGGCUUUUUUGACACUGAUCAACAGAAAAGACUUUCAUGUCAAAUUUAAAACAAAUUUCUACAAAUUGGUCUAAAUGUAUUAAAAUUAUUAAACCUAAAAUAAUUGAUUGCAUAAUUACUCACCCCUUUCAAGUCAGUAUUUAGUAGAUGCACCUUUUGGCAGCAAUUACAGCCUUGAGUCUGUGUGGAUAGGUCUCUAUCAGUCUUGCACAUCUGGACCCUGCAAUUUCUCCCUAUUCUUCUUUAUAGAACUGCUCAAGCUUUGUCAGAUUGCAUGGGGAUUGUGAGUGAACAGCCACAAACUCUCUAAUGGAUUGCAGUCUACAUUCGAACUUGGCUACUCCAGGACAUUAACUUUGUUGUUUUUAAGCCAUUCCUGUGUAGCUUUGGCUUUAUGCUUGGGGUCAUUAUCUUGCUGGAAAGCAAAUCUUCUCUCCCAAGUCACAGUUUUCUUGCAGACUACAUCAGGUUUUCCUCCAGGAUUUCCCUGUGUUUUGCUGCAUUCAUUUUACCCUCUACCUUCACAAGCCUUUCAGGGCCGGCUGCAGUGAAGCAUCCCCACAGCAUGAUGCAGCCACCAGCGUGCUUCAUGGCAGGGAUGAUGUGUUUCUGAUGAUGUGCGGUGUUCAUAGCAUACACCAAGCAUAGCAUUUAGUCUGAUGGCCAAAAGGCUCAAUUUUAGUUUCAUCAGACCAUAGAACCGUCUUUCAGCUGAUUUCAGAGACUCCCACAUACCUUCUGGCAAACUCUAGCCGAGAUUUCAUGUGAGUCUUUUUUCCCAACGGUAGCUUUCUCUUUGCCACUCUCCCAUAAAGCUGCGACUGGUGAAGCACCCGGGCAACAGUUGCUGUAUGCAUGGUCUCUCCCAUCUCAGCCACUGAAGAUUGUAACUCCUCCAGAGUUGUCAUAGGUCUCUUGGUGGCCUCCCUCACUAGUCCCCUUCUCAUAGUUUUACUCAGUUUUUGAGGAUGGCCAACUCCAGGCAGAUUUACAGCUGUGCCAUAUUCUUUCCAUUUCUUGAUGAUUGACUUAACUGUACUCCAAGGGAUAGUCAGUGACUUGGAAAUUUUCUUGUAUCCAUCUCCCGACUUGUGCUUUUCAAUAACUCUUUGCAGAGUUGCUUGGAGUGUUCUUUUGUCUUCAUGGUGUAGUUUUUACCAGGAUACUAACUCACCAGCAGUUGGACCUUCUAGAUACAGGUGUAUUUUCACUACAAUCAAUUGAAACACCUUGACUGCGCACAGGUUUACACGUAGUUCAGAUGCCUUAACUAAUUAUAUGACUUCUAAAUUCAAUUGUCUGCACCAGUGAUAAUCUGGUGUCAUAUCAAAGGGGGUGAAUACGUAUGCCAUCAAUUAUUUUGUACUGUAUAUUUGAAAUUAAUUUAGAUCAUUUUGUAGAGAUCUGUGUUCACUUUGAUGUGAAAGAUUCUUUUUCUGUUGAUCAGUGUCUAAGUAGCCAAAUGAAAUCCACCAUGAUUCAAUGUUGUGAAACAAUAAAACAUGAAAACUUCCAAAGAAACUGUACAUCAGUGAGACCCAAUGUAGUUCAUCAAGCACCUUCACUCUGCCCACCACAAAUGGCGGGAUUUCGGCAGCCACUCAUUUCAAUUCUGCUUCCCAUUCCCAUUCCAAGCUGUCAGUCCAUGGCCCCCUCUACUGCUGCAAUGAAGCCAUACUCAGGUUGGAGGAGCAACACCUUACGUUCUGUCUCGAUAGCCUUCAACCAGAUGGCAUGAACAUCAAUUUUAUCAGCUUCUGGUAAGUGGCCUCUUCUUCACCCUUCCCCAUUCCUGUUUCCCUCUCACACCUUCUCUUCUUACCUGCCUAUUGCCUCCUUUGGGUGCUCUUUCCCCUUUCCUUUCUUCCAUAAUCUUCUGGUCUCUCCUAUCAGAUUCCCCCUUCUCCAGCCCUUUAUUGCUUUCACCACCCAACUUCCCAGCAUUUUAUUUCACCCCUUCCACUUUCCCUCUCCCCUACCACCCUGUAUCUCUUCCUCCCCUCCUCCCACAUUCUCAGUCUGACUCCUUUCCACGUCCUUUCCAGUCCCGAUGAAGGGUCUCAGCCCAAAAGGUUGACUGUUUACUCUUUUCCAUUGGUGCUUUCUGGUCUAAUGAGUUCUGCAGUAUUUUGUGUGUGUUGCUCUGAAUUUCCAGCAGCUGCACAUUUUCUCUUGUUUGUUCUCACAGAUAUCAACUGGCCUGAGGUCUCACGCCACCAGGUUCAAGAACAGCAACUUUCCUUCAGCCAUUCAGCUCAUCAACACAGUUUGCAAAACACAUUUUGCAGCCUAACAAUGAGAGAUCGUCUUAGCCACUUUUCUUGUGAUUGCCAUGGAAUGCUGCAAGCCCAAUUCAUCCGUUUAUUGGCGAAUGGUGGAGGAAAUGCUUGGCCUCGGUCAAGCAAAGGACUAGGCCCCAGAACAUGGUGUCGUGUGUUUGCAGCCACCCAGGGGAGGUGUCAGUCCUGUGCAGGGUCCAUGCUGGAGUCGCUGUUGCCCUCCAGUGCCUGUAUUAUGUUCAACUGUAGACUGCUGCAAUAUUCAUGGAUUCAAGGACUUGGACAGAUUUUUUUUUAAGUGUGAAUGUAAGUUUGCUGCUGCAUGUGCUAUGUGUGCCUUACGCUGGUGCUACA